CCUACGGGUGGCAGCAGUGAGGAAUAUUGGUCAAUGGCCGUAAGGCUGAACCAGCCAAGUAGCGUGAGGGAAGACUGCCCUAUGGGUUGUAAACCUCUUUUAUGCGGGGAUAAAGGUGACCACGUGUGGAUGUUUGCAGGUACCGCAUGAAUAAGGACCGGCUAAUUCCGUGCCAGCAGCCGCGGUAAUACGGAGGAUCCGAGCGUUAUCCGGAUUGAUUGGGCUUAAAGGGUGCGUAGGCGGUCUUUUAAGUACGCGGUGAAAGUCUGUGGCUCAACCCUAGAAUUGCCGUUGAAACUGGGAGGCUUGAGUAUGGUUGAGGCAGGCGGAAGGCGAGGUGUAGCGGUGAAAUGCUUAGAGAUCACGAAGAACUCCGAUUGCGAAGGCAGCUUACUAAACUGCCACUGACAUUGAUGCUCGAAAGUGUGGGUAUCAAACAGGAUUAGAUACCCGUGUAGUC
rnacentral:rRNA from 1 species